rnacentral:rRNA from 1 species
GGUCAGGCUGAAGACCUUACCCGAUUAGCUGAGAGGUGGUGCAUGGCCGUCGUCAGUUCGUACUGUGAAGCAUCCUGUUAAGUCAGGCAACGAGCGAGACCCACGUCCACAGUUGCCAGCAUACCCGUCCGGGGUGAUGGGUACACUGUGGAGACCGCCGCUGCUAAAGCGGAGGAAGGAGUGGGCAACGGUAGGUCAGUAUGCCCCGAAUCUCCCGGGCUACACGCGGGCUACAAUGGUUGGUACAAUGGGCAUCUACCCCGAAAGGGGAAGGAAAUCUCUUAAAGCCAAUCGUAGUUCGGAUUGAGGGCUGCAACUCGCCCUCAUGAAGCUGGAAUCCGUAGUAAUCGCGUUUCAACAGAACGCGGUGAAUACGUCCCUGCUCCUU